CACCUUGCGGGGCAGGCGCUAGACGCCGGCUGGAAUUGGAACAGGGGCUGGCCAAGCGCUCGCGGGGGAAGCCGGGGGGCCGAAUGUCGGGGGACAUUCGGCCCCUUUUUA
rfam:Lysobacter gummosus strain 3.2.11, complete genome.